AGGCGUGCCAAGCCAUGAGCGGGAUCUCCGACCAGGUCCGCACGGUACCAGGACGCCCUGUCGCCGCUCAUCGAGCCUUGAACCGCCAUUCUGCCAGCUGCCAUUCGACUGGGACGCAGGCAGUUUCUGGCUCCCCACCCGAAGCUAGGCUGACCCCAGGCCGCGGUGCUGAGAAUGCUGCGGACGGGCUCCUUUCCGUCUAGAUCCAAGCUUCGCCCCUACACUCCGGGUGUGGAUCCCCGCUGCCCCGACUGCGGCGAGAAACGGUCCACCUUGAAGAACGUGCCGUGUCAAUGUUUUACGUUGCACCACUCACCUUCCAAUAGGCAAGAAGACCGGGAAGAAGCCGUCAAGAGCGACGACAUUCAGGUACAGCUUCGGGCUGUCCAAAGGACCUGCGACAGAGCUGAACAUGACGGUCUUCCGCCCCCAGCGUGGGUGCGGCCCGCGACUACGACAGUGUACUCCCUUAGGACCACAUAAAGUUUCUUGAUUGUCUC